AAGAACCUGACACAGGUUAGAAGCAGAAGUGAAACUGGGGCGAUGGGGAAUCCCCAGCACCGCCUCUGACCUCAGCACCUGGCGAAUACAACUUUGCCUGAACCUUGUGCUGUGGGGCAGGGCACUGUUUGUCAUGGUGUCACCAAGUCAUGGUGACCCAGAAGCUGCCUGAACAUCAGGAGACGCCUGCAGGCCUUUCUGUGUGCUUUCCUCCACCCUCCUCUUCCUUCUCUUCAGAAGUCAGACUCUGGAGUCUUCUAGAAGAAAAGUGACUUCCGGGAAUAGAAUCACAACACAAGUCUUGUGGGUGCGGAGGAGAGACGCUUCUCCUUUAAGAGGAGGCAAUGGCCUGCAAGCCCCACCCGGACACCACAGAGACCAGGCUCUGUUCACCUGCAUGGGCAGCUCACACUGCCAAGCCUGAGUGCAGGACUCUGAUCUGUAAAGAGGAGACUUUGCCUCUUCCCUCAGGAUCUGUCUUCUCAACCUCGGGUUUAGACCCAGACUCCUUGUGUUUAUUCCCAGAAGAUGCAUCUGUGGCUCCAGGUCUCCACAGCAGCCCAGCAGCCUCUCCAGGAUUGAGGGGCUCCUGUUUCAGUGAACCACCCUUAUUAGGUGCUGUGAGUGUUUUCCGUGGGAACUUGAAGCUCUUAGGUUCCAUCCUGACUGACCUGAGGAUGCAGUUGGGGUAGGCAGCCCCACAGAAAGGAUCUGUCCCUGUUACUUUUCUUCUUAUUUAUUCUGUUUUUUGAGACAAGGUCUGUCUGCACUGCUGUGGCUGUCCUGGAACUCACUAUGUAGACCUCCCAGAGAUACAUGGCCUUUGCAUCCUGAGGGCUGGGUGUCUUAGUUUCCCUUUCAUUGUUGUGUGCGCUCUAUGCCCAAGCUGCAGUGUAAGUAUCCAGCCAUGCCAUGGGAAAGGGUGACUUGAGAAGCCAGGCAUGCUUUGUGGCCACCGAGAUUCACUGGCUAUGCAUAGCUGACACCUGUCUGCAGACAUUCAUGUCUCAGCCAGUUUCAGAGCUGUUUCCACGUAGAGGGGCGAGAAUUCAUGUUUUGUUUUGUUUAUUUUAUGUUCUAUUUGUUUUCUUCCUUCAUUUUUGCAACCAAGAUUUUCAGGGGGUCUCCCCUGGUCAAAUGUAAUAUUUAUUAAUUUUGAGGGAAGUUAUAGCUUUUCUUCUCUUGUUGAAAGAAAGGCAAAACAUCUCCCUGAACUCAACACACGUCCCUCCUUCUAUUCUGAGGUUCUCACAUAUAUCUGCUGAUCUGACCCAGCAGUCCUUCCUCAACUCCAUGUUUUUCAGGGCUGUGUUUCCUGUCUCUAGUCCUACAACCAGACUUCAGACAAAGUAGAUUCCAGGAGGCGAGGUCGAGUUCGUAGUCCAUGAGGAGGAGCCUCUACUUCUGUGCACACAUGUGAGGAGCUUGACAGGUUUGCUAAUUCACUAAGCAGAAGUCUGGGGAAUGUGUGGGAGUGGAUUUUGAGGGUGUGGGAUAAUGACGGAAGGAACAUAAAAUUGAGUCUGGGUGAGGUUUUCAGUAUGGGAACACUGACUGGACAUUGGACUUUAAUAUGUGAUUUUAACCUUUUAAAAAGGUGAAAAAGGUUUGUUUGAAGGGUUGGCUGAAGUGUUUAUCAAAAGAAGGUCUACUGAAAAGGGGUUGAAGAUUCAUUGACAGCCCUACCUGACACCUGACCUGGGAGACAGUAGAGCCAGGAGGAGCUGACUGAGCAGAGAGGCUAGAACGGUUGUCACAGUCUGGAGCUGCUGUAAUUGGGACAACUGGGAGAAGGGACUGUUUAAGUGCAGUGUUGGGAAUUGAGGGAGGAGUUGGGAGAAACGUUAGACGGGGCUGGGCUGGAUGAUGGAAGGAAUAGUUGGAAAGAAAUUAGAUUGACAGCUCUCUCCCUCUUUCUCUCUCUCCUGCUUCUUUCCUCUCUAGUCAUAGGGGAUAAAACCAGGAGGACAAAGGGUGGGGAAGAAAGAACCAACAAAGUAAGGAAGACCAGCUACCUGGCUCUCUGUGUAUCCCUGGCUGCCCUGGGACUCACUCUGUACCCAAGGCUGGUCUCGAACUCACAGAUAUGCCUGCCUCUGGGUAUGUACAACCAAGGCUCAGGAAAUAUUCUUAAUCAAAUCACCACAGAAGCCUACUGAAGUUUUGUUUGAUCACAUAAGUGGGAAAAUGGUCAACAAAUGAGAGAAAGGCUACAUACUAGUGGCCAAAGAGCAUCUCAUCCCAUGAAUCAGUUUCUAACCUUGAGACAGUUUGCAGAUGCAGAACUCCUUGAAUGAAGGAAUGGCCAGGUUACCCUGAGUAAGUACCUUAUAAAACAUCUAAAAUGUAUACUGCUAGCCUUUCUCCAGUGCUUUCCUAGUGGGACCUACAGGAGACCCAGGGUAACCAUACACUGGGGGGAAGAACUAAUCAGACUUACCAGGCUCUAUUGCAUAUUAGCACAAAUUAAUGCUGAUUCCAGGAGCUCCCAGGAAACAUUAUGGUUCUUCAGUCAGAGUAGAGUGUUAUGGAGGGCCAGGGAUUAAUGAGGUUUUGGCUGAAAUCUGAAUCACAUCAGGCCCAGUGGGUUCCUGAAUUCAUCCUGUGGUUAUUUUUCCAGUCCCAGAAGGUAGAAUUGGGAUACAUGUACUUAGAGGUUGUCAGAAUGCUCACACUGGUUCCCUGACCUGUGGACUGAGGGCUAUCAUGGUUGGAAAGGGUAACUGGAAGCCUUUAGAGUUCCCUCCUUUAGGAAAAUAGUGAAUCAAAGACAGCAGCACAUCCUAGUAGAAAUUUGAGAAAUCACUGGCACCAUCAAUUGUCAAGUCAUUCUCACAGUCAAUCUGUCUUGCUCUGCACUGGCCUCAUAGGAGAUGUAUAGGGAGAUGUGGUCAGAACAACUUUUGAUUCUGAUAUGUAUGCUUCAGAGGGUUGGAAAUAAAGCCUACCAAAUAUUCAAAUCCUUCUAAUUCAGGAAAUUAAGGAAUCCAGUGGAUGGGGCAGGCACAGACAUUCCAUCCAAGAUGAAGGAAAGGUUCCUGACCUGGCCCCUCCUACCACCAAAACAGGAGCACAGGGCUUAAUUGUGUCUUUGGAUUCUGCAGACAGCACAUCCCUCACUUGGAUCUCUUACUCUGGCCCAUAAGCCUUCUGAAUCAGAGAGCUGCUAACUUCCUGUGGGUCCUGGGACAGGUGAAGACUCUUCAACAGGUCCCGGCUGUGGUUCAGGCUGCUCCAACAUCUUGUACCAUGUGAUCCAGCAGACCUGAUGGUAGUUGAGGUGUCAGUGACAGAGAAGGAUGUUGUUUUGAGGAUUUGGCAGGCCUCUAUGAGGGAAUCACAGAAGAGAACUUUGGGAUUUUGGAGCAAGGCUCCAACAUCAUCUGCACACAACUAUUCCCCCUGUGAGAGACAGCUCUUGGCCUGGUGCGACCUGAACGUUUGACAAUGGGCCACCAAGUUACCUGUGGGCCACAUGUGACCUGGGCUGCCUAUAAUGGGUUGGAUGUUAUCUGACCCACCAAGUCAUAAAAUAGGACACACACAGCCCUGAGCUAUUAUUAAAUAGAAGUGGUAUAAACGUAAUCAGGACUGGACAGGUCCUACGGGCACAAGGAAGUUACUUGAAGACUUUGCCAAACUGCCUCCAGUCUCUACUCCUGUUACAAUGUCAUCUGCAGCCAAGCAUGCACCUGCAGCCUCAUGAGCUGUGCCUUAUCCUGGAAGACUGAGGAAGAAGAGACGAGGGCCUGUCUUGCUGAUGGCUGUGCAUGCUAUGCAGGCACCAGCAGACGUGGACAGCUGCAGCAUUACCACCCUUUGCCUGGAGAUCCCUGAAGGACACUUCUGGUGGGAAUCUUCACAGUGGGUGCAAGUUCAGGCCAUGCACAUGGUAAUGCCCUUUAUUUGGAUGGAGGAAUGGUCAGAUGUGUGAUUGUUCUCUAAUUCAUGGGCCGUGACCAGUGGAUUGGCUGGAUGGGCAGGGCCUUGAAAAGAACAGGGUUGGAGUCAUCUGGGGAAGAUGCGGGGGAUAGAUCUGUCAACGUGAGUAAAGUCUGUGAAGACACUUGUGUCCUAUGUACAUGGUCAUCAAAAGGUGAUGUCAGCUUGGGAGACGCUCAGUAACCAAGUAGGUGGGUGACCCACUCUGUGGCCAGUCAGUCUCCUUACCAGACAUCUCUCAUUACCCAACAGGCCCAUGACCAAAGAGAUCAUGGUAAGGGGGUUACCCCUAAAUGUACAGCUAAGUGGUGGAGUCAGGCAAGCCUACUAAGGCUGCCCCCCUACGCUGACAAGAGAGGGAUGGAAAGGAGAGGUGGGUCCCCACAAUUUUGUCAGGACUGAGAAAGUGACUUCAGUGUCCAGAAGGAAGGUGAGUGAAUGUCCUAAUACCGUGACAAUUAUUCAAGCCUCUAUGGCAGUGGUCAGGCCAUUGGAGUCUCCACCCGCUCAGUAGUCCAUGGAUGGACCAAGGAUAUGGGCUGAAGGGUGAUCAGGGGUUGAUGUUCCCGUGGCUCAGGGAACUCUGGGAAAAGUAGCUCAUGAGGAGGUGUUUCCACCUGGGGUCUCAGGAUCCGGGUGAGUGUAUUGUGUCAGGGCCUUUGUAAGACAGCCCAGGACCUGUGAUGGAUUUCCAUAGUUAUCCUGAUGACCUUUGGAAUUUUCCAUCAUUUACAGCCAUAAGGGGAGCUUUGUGAAGAUGGCCAGGGUGCAAGUUGUAGACUGAUUCAUUGCUAGGACGCCCCCUGAGGCAUUGUGAUUCCAUUAGGGUCCUGGUCUGGGACAGUCUCACGCCCACCUGCAUGGGCAGCUGCUGCUGAGGACAGAGACAGCAGAGACGGAAGAGAAGAGAAGGGACUCUGGGUUGUUCUUCAGUGUGAUUGACAGUGGAAGGAUUGUCUGCUUCAGCCUCACAGCCAGGAGGAGCUGUUAGUUCCUUGAUUGGCUGAUGUCUUGAGGUCAUUUUUUAAUCAAGAUGGGAGUGAGGUCACAUGGCAAAGGCCAUCCUUUCAAACCGUAGCAAAGAUGGCUGUCAGCAAAGAGGCCUCCAUCCUGAUGAGGGGACAGCGGCUGAGAUGGCAACAAGCCUCAGGUUUAAAGACUUCCAUGUAUAGAUUUUAACUCUAUACCCCGAUGUUACAACGCUUAAGGUAACUUCUUCCUCAGAGACUUUACCAGGUUUUAAUCCUACACCUCAACACAUUUAGAGAAUUUACUCAAAGCCUAGAGGGUAGAGAGGAGCAGCCAUGGUCCCUAGUGUGAGUCGUCUGUCCCUUCUCCAUCGGUCUCCAUUCUCUGUCACACAGGCAAGUGGCUCACCUGAUAUGGGACAGAUUUUGGAGGACACCUUUGAAUUAAGAUGCUUUGGUCUGGAGGAGGGGGAGCCAUAUCUCAACUCCAGUGCUUUUAAUUGACGUGGGACAGCUUAAGACAGUGUAACGUCACUGGUAUCUAAAAGACGCCUGAAUUCCUUUGACCAAGCUGGUCAAGGUCUCAGAUCUCAAAAUGUCCUAUGCUUUACCUGUGGGAAACAUGGUCAUUUGACACAUAAUUGUGAACAAGGCAUCUCCAAGGGCAAUGCAUUUUCUAAAUGUAAACUAGAAAGAAUGUUGUUGUGAAAAUACAAAAAAUAAAAAAAGUAUUGGUGUCUUU